rnacentral:tRNA from 1 species
GCGGACGUAGCUCAACCGGAAGAGCAGCGAUCUCCAAAGUCGUCGGCUGGGGGUUCGAGUCCCUCCGUCCGCG